rnacentral:rRNA from 1 species
UACGUAGGGUGCAAGCGUUAUCCAGAUUUACUGGGCGUAAAGCGCGCGCAGGCGGAUGAUUAAGUCAGCUGUGAAAGCUCCCGGCUCAACUGGGAAGGGUCGGCUGAAACUGGUCGUCUGGAGGGCAGCAGAGGAGUGUAGAAUUGCGGGUGUAGUGGUGAAAUGCGUAGAUAUCCGCAGGAAUACCAGUGGCGAAGGCGGCACUCUGGGUUGUACCUGACGCUGAGGCGCGAAGGCGUGGGGAGCAAACCGG